rnacentral:misc_RNA from 1 species
UGGCUCUCGCAUCGAUGAAGAACGCAGCGAAAUGCGAUAAGUAAUGUGAAUUGCAGAAUUCAGUGAAUCAUCGAAUCUUUGAACGCAUCUUGCGCUCCUUGGUAUUCCGAGGAGCAUGCCUGUUUGAGUGUCAUUAAUUUCUCAAACCCCUUGGGCGUUUUUUCUCUCAAGGGGCUUUGGAAGUGAGGGUUUGUUGCAGGCUCUUUUCAUCGAGUCAGCUCCCUUGAAAUGCAUUAGUGGUACCUCUGUUGGUAUUCAACGACUGUUGGUGUGAUAAAUUACUAUCUACGCCCUCUCUAGUCUAGCCGACAAAAUGAGGUCAAGCCGCUUCUAACUCCCCCUCCACUUUGUGGAAAAUGACCAAUUUGACCUCAAAUCAGGUAGGACUACCCGCUGA